UAAAAGAAGAGUACUACAGGACCGAUUUCUCAUUUCCUCCCAAACCUUGAAGAGUACUCUUGCCAGCACGCCAUCGCCAAUCGGAGCACCCAUCACCGGUUGGAGAGCCGGUAGUCACCUGACGAAGAAGAGGGGAAAAGUGGAAAAAAAGGAACUUAAUUUUCUCCUAUUAAUGAUUUUGUAAAGAAAUUAAUAAGGUAUUUUGAGAAUUUUGAGACACCCAAGAGAUCUUAAUUUCUUUUCCUUUCAAGUUCUCCAAAGACAGGUAAGAUCUUGUGAUUCUUUAUUAGCCACCUCCAUAUGAUCAUAUUUAUUCAUUAGGCUUCGCAGAAAUUUUUCAAUAACCUUUUAGGUUUUCAAAAUUUCUCUACUUGAUGCCAUAGAAUUUGAAAUGGAACUCUAGUUUACUGAAUCUCAGUUGCUUGAUAUAUUUGGAAAGGUGAAUCGUGUCUUUUUGUGUCUUAUUCUUUAGGAGAUUUGUAUGUGCUUUAGAUAAUUGAUUUUCAUUUUCUGGUUGUUUGUAUUCCUUCAACAAUAUUUCAUAAAUAAUGAGAUUCAAGACACAAUUCAUUAGAUUAAUUUAAUAAUAAAGAUUUCGCCAUUAAAACGAGUCACGAGAGAAAUGAGAUUAUUGUUUGACAUUAUUUAUCUUUUCUUGGCUCUGAUAGUAGUUAGUAGAAAAGAAGGCUUGGUAGAUAUCUUAUUAUUAUUACUAUUAUUAUUAUAAAUUGCCUUUGCAAAAUAAUAAAGAUUUUGGUAAAUCAAUGUGCAUGUUCUAUCUUUAAGAAGUCUCCUCCAAUUACUAAGUCAAGUAUUGGAAUUCUAUAAAACAUUUGACUAAACAAGUACAUGAUUAUUCUAGGAAAUUUAAUAGUCAAAAUUUGGUUUAUUAUUCCAACAUAUAUAUUAUGCUUGUUUUGUUUUGGAUUCACUCCAAAGCCUAGCAAAAAUUCAUAUUUGUAAUGUAGCUAUUUUAAUUAAUCUAGACUUGCCAAGGAGUCCCAGUCCCUUUUGAGUGUGGUGGAAAAAACAUUCACAAAACAAGAGCCAAGAGCUUGGGUUUUGGUGAAAAGAAACAAAGGGCAUCUGUUAUGGUUGAUGUGUGUCGGAAGUGUUGUGCUGUGAUUUUGUAUAAUUCCUUUUGAAAAAGUUAUAUGUUUUUUAUUCCCAUCGUAGAAUGCUCGGAAGGAACUCCGGAAUCUGUCAUAGUUGUAGAGCUAAGGAUCAUUUGUUUGCCGAAUGCAAAAAGAAACGCCCUUGCCCACGAUGUAAGUAUGGAUUUGAAAAAUGUUUUGUGGUAAAGAAGGAAAAUCACAAUAAGGGGAAACUAGUCCUUUGCUACAGCCGGAAUUGUGGAUUUUGGGAAUGGGUUGUGAAAGAAGACUCAAGCGGUCAAUGUAGUCGUGAUAGCGCGACAUUCCCUAACCCCGUGAUGAAUGACACUAAUGAAGAAAUGUCCCGCAUGUUCAAAUAUUGGGUAAGGAUAAGUGACGAAGAAGAGUUUCAGAUUUUGGUUAACGUGAGCAUCAAGAAGGAGAAAAUUGUUGCAAAUGUGGACGCUAAAGGGAAGCGGCCGACUUGACUUGAAGAUACUUAUCGAAGUGGCUAGCCUAAUUUUCUCAAUUAAAACUGAAUCAGCUUGUCCUUAUUAUUUGUGAAGGUUGAAAGUCUUGUAUGUGAUGAAUUAAGUAAAGUAGUUGAGCUUUGUGGUGCGAGGUUGUAUAUCAUGACAUCUUGGUAUCAAAACAAGCAUCUUUUGUAGGCAAACAUUUGUACUCUCGCGACUUACUUACAGUUUUUGUAUGGUAAUUAAUUUAUUUAAUACCUUUCCA